GAUGAACGCUGGCUGUGUGCCUAAUACAUGCAUGUCGAGCGGAAGUAGCAAUACUUUAGCGGCGAAUGGGUGAGUAACACGUGCUUAAUCUACCUCUUAGAUUGGAGUACCUAAUGGAAACAUUGGUUAAUGCCGGAUACGCAUGGAGUCGCAUGACUCCGUUGUGAAAGGGGCCUUUAAAGCUCCACUAAGAGAUGAGGGUGCGGAACAUUAGCUAGUUGGUGAGGUAACGGCCCACCAAGGCUGUGAUGUUUAGCCGGGUCGAGAGACUGAACGGCCACAUUGGGACUGAGAUACGGCCCAAACUCCUACGGGAGGCAGCAGUAGGGAAUAUUCCACAAUGAGCGAAAGCUUGAUGGAGCGACACAGCGUGCACGAUGAAGGUCUUAUGGAUUGUAAAGUGCUGUUGCAAGGGAAGAAAAAGUAGUUGAGGAAAUGCUUCUACAUUGACGGUACCUUGUUAGAAAGCGAUGGCUAACUAUGUGCCAGCAGCCGCGGUAAUACAUAGGUCGCAAGCGUUAUCCGGAAUUAUUGGGCGUAAAGCGUUCGUAGGCUGUUUAUUAAGUCUGGAGUCAAAUCCCAGGGCUCAACCCUGGCUCGCUUUGGAUACUGGUAAACUAGAGUUGGAUAGAGGUAAGCGGAAUUCCAUGUGAAGCGGUGAAAUGCGUAGAUAUAUGGAAGAACACCAAAGGCGAAGGCAGCUUACUGGGUUUAUACUGACGCUGAGGAACGAAAGCGUGGGGAGCAAACAGG
rnacentral:rRNA from 1 species